UUCUUACUCCCUCCGAUCCAUAUUAAUUGUCGAAAUAUUACAUGUAUCUGGAUGCUUUUUAGUCAUAUAUGCAUCCAUAUUUGGGCAAUUUUGAGACAAAUAAUAUGGAUCGGAGAGAGUAUUUC
rfam:Brachypodium distachyon strain Bd21 chromosome 1, whole genome shotgun sequence.